CAGUAGCCGCGGUAAUACAGAGGAUGCAAGCGUUAUCCGGAAUGAUUGGGCGUAAAGCGUCUGUAGGUGGCUUUUCAAGUCCGCCGUCAAAUCCUCGGGCUCAACCCUGGACAGGCAGUGGAAACUACCAAGCUGGAGUACGGUAGGGGCAGAGGGAAUUUCCGGUGUAGCGGUGAAAUGCGUAGAUAUCGGAAGGAACACCUGUGGCGAAAGCGGCUCACUGGACCAUUUCUGACGCUGAUGCACGAAAGCUAGGGGAGCAAACAGGAUUAGAUACCCCAGUAGUCCCUGUCUCUUAUAC
rnacentral:rRNA from 1 species